CCUGGCGGCGAGUGGCGAACGGGUGAGUAAUACAUCGGAACGUGCCCAGUAGUGGGGGAUAGCUCGCGAAAGCCGGAUUAAUACCGCAUACGACCUGAGGGCGAAAGCGGGGGAUCUUCGGACCUCGCGCUAUUGGAGCCGCCGAUGGCAGAUUAGCUAGUUGGUGGGGUAAAGGCCUACCAAGGCGACGAUCUGUAGCUGGUCUGAGAGGACGACCAGCCACACUGGGACUGAGACACGGCCCAGACCUCUACGGGAGGCAGCAGUGGGGAAUUUUGGACAAUGGGCGAAAGCCUGAUCCAGCAAUGCCGCGUGUGUGAUGAAGGCCUUCAGGUUGUAAAGCACUUUGGUGGGAACGAAAGGGACUGUGCCAAUACCACGGUUCGAUA
rnacentral:rRNA from 1 species